rnacentral:lncRNA from 1 species
AAAAUGCGGGAAGACCUGCCUUUGCCAAUAACAAGACUCCUUGGAAGAUAAGAUGGCCCCUUACUCUAACAACAGACUUCCAAGAGGAAUUUCUCUAUGAUCUUGUUCCAGGAAUGUGUCUCCCAAGAAGCAAGUCUGGAUUCAUCUUAUGUACACUCCUGGCCUGUCUCUGAAAUUCGGGGAUCUGCUCAGCAGACCGGAACAACCCAGGAGGCAUCUGGGCUCUGGAAGGAAAUACAAGCCAGCCAGUUCCAGCAGCUUUUUCCCAAAGCCUGGAGCAGGCUCUGCUCUGUAGCUACUAGCAUUUUUACAACAGUAACCUGAGGCCACUGAUCUUAGGUCUGAUUGAUGAGUAGGUCAGAAAUCAUCCCAGCGUGGAACCCUCCUUGACUCACGCUGUCUGGGUGAACACACAGACCCAUUCCACUGUUUCCUGGCCAGCUUGACUUCACUCUUCUUAUUUUUCUUGGGCUAAGAAAAGACAUUCUUUGCUGGUUAUAAAUAUCAUUCAUUUCAGAAAGUUCAUAUAUACAAAUAACAUGGAUUUGGGAUCAUUACAGUUGUUAAUUUUAGUAAAAUAAUUUUUUUCUUUG